rnacentral:lncRNA from 1 species
AAUAACCUACGUGUUGCUGCACGUUUAAUUCCAUGACCAGGUUUAGCUCAAAUCCAGGCUGCGUUUUUCUUACAUCAUAUGUACUCUUAAGAAAUAUUUCAUCGGAACAAUUGCCUUUUCUUACAUGAUUUACCCUUAAUUAUACUAAACUUUUGCAAAUAUUUCCCAUUAUGUGCUUUUGGUGCGUCAUACCUUCUGAAUCCCUAGUAGAAAAGCCAUAGAUUAAUUAGCAUAAAUGGGAGAUAAUCACAUUAACACAUUCGGCUCAAUUAUUUUUGUGAUGAUAGUAUUUCCCAUUAUGUGCUUUUGGUGCGUCAUACCUUCUGAAUCCCUAGUAGAAAAGCCGUAGAUUAAUUAGCAUAAAUGGGAGAUAAUCACAUUAACACAUUCGGCUCAAUUAUUUUUGUGAUGAUAGUGAAAAGACAGACGGAUGGUUUCUUCAACUAAGGAAAAGAAAGCAACAUGAUAUGUUUAAGUUGUUAUCUAUUCCUAUCUAUGAUUUAUCUUAUCAAUUAAAUAGGCACAGUUUACUCUUGUAGCAAUUUACAUUUAUGUUCAGGCUUACAUUAUGAUCAUGUCAAAGAUAAAUGACAUACCUGGUUAUAUAUAGCUGGGACUUAAACAGAGAAUAUUAAUCCGUACCGUGCCUGUAUGUUAACUCUUAGAGGAAGCUUUUGGUGAAGAUAUUUCUUAAAAAUAUAUUUCUGCAUUACCAAAUAUUCAUCUUUCAGAUUUUUUUUGUUUUUCUUUGAGCUAAUAUCCUCUAAGUAAACUUUCACAUACCCUCCUGUGAUCUUAUCUCAUCAGAUGUUGGGUGGGCCGGAUAACUACCAGUAAGUUGACAAUUGUUGUUUAAGAAAAAAGUCCAUUCUAAACCUGAAGUUUGCUUUCAGUUUAAAAUGAACCGGACUUCAAAUCCACAAACUUCGAACCCUGAACCUGGCCAACCUAGCCCUUCCUGUUUGGCUGUUAACAAGCGGGAGAUACCGAAAGCGGGAUGGAGUCGGUAUGUAGAGUCCAGCUGUAAUGACGGUGCACGGCGGCGGAACAGCGCUAGGUAGCGCUAACGAGCACAAUCAGCGGAGGUGGCGUCAGUUUCACAUGGAGGUGGUACCACAGGUGCAGAAUCAUGUGAUUGAUUGGGAAAGACGUUGAGCGAGAGGAGGUAGUGUAGCCACGAGCAAAUGUCCAGUGACUCGACAGCAAGGGCAGUGGAUGUCAGUCUAAUACAGAGAAGAUAAAAUCGACUCCAACGUUGGGGCGUGCGGGGGUCUCGCUCGAUGGCAUCCCUGCCUUCUGUAGGUCGACGAGGACUCCUUUGAUUGUGGAGGCCAGGGACACGUCAGUGGCACAGAUGCCCACAUGUUGGCACACAUGAGCAGGUGGCAGGGUGGUGCUAGGGUUAAGGGAGGGGUGGGAGGCUCAUAAGAGGAAAGGAGGGAGGUAGUGAUGCCACUUUAUAGAGGAGGUGGCAUGAGGAAAAAGGUGGACACACCAGUGAGCGAUGGAUACUACCGAAAAGGAGGUAGGAGGAAGAAGCUGAUGUUUGGGGCCCACAGUUGAAUAAGAAGAGGGCAUGGUUAACCUCGCCUUUUUCGCUGUGUGUCAAACGAGCAUAUUAUGUAGGUUGCUGGGAUUUGGAAGUUCAGGGUCCCGAAAUCAGGGAAUGGAAGUACGGGGUUACGACUUGCAGCACAAAACAAACUUCAGUGUUCAUAAUCGAUUUGUUUCUUUCCUGAUCUUUGUAUGCCCAUAUCUGGUGAUUAUCAACCUGACCAGCAUUGUAAAAUAAGAACUCCUGACACUAAAUUACUGAUCGAGGUAUAUUGUACAAUUUUCUUUUGUUGCAGCCUUUGUUUCUACUAAACCUUUGUGUACUGAUGACAAUGACAAGGAAUAACUUUAAAAGCUUUAAGUGUAGUUGUUUACUCAACCAUGGAGCACAGAUGUCUUAAUUUCUCGCACUAUUUGUUUGUUUUAGCCAUUUCUGUACAAGAUAGUGUGUACCUUUUACCAUAUUUGCUUGUGUGCUCUCACCAUCUGCUGGACUUUUGUUCCUCAAUGCUAUAUUAUCAUCUUAUUGCAGUUUAAGCGACACGGCAAUGAGGUAAGGCGUGAAGUUGGACGUGCGAAUGAAGAAUGUCUUCCUGCAGAAAAGGAUUUGCACAGUUCCAAACAUAAGGAUGUACAUGUGAAAAUGCAGAAACUGAAUGGAAGCUAUCAUGACUCGGUCUAUCAGGAUUUGGAGAAGACAAGAUACCAGAAAAGCCAAAAUGGCAAUGAAGAAGAUGAGAUUGAGGAGGGGGAACUGAUUGAAGAGGACCAUCAGGAUAGUUUUCCAAAAAGCAAGCUUAAUCAUCCAAGAAAAGCGACAUUGAAAUCAGUGAUUGAAGCAAGUUCGGCAGGUCAGUUAGAAAUGAUUAAUGCAAUGUCAAAAGAUGUUUGCGACAAGGAAGUUUCAUGGGAAUGUGACAAUAAACACAUACUUGAGGUAAUGGAAAAGAUGCAAAAGAGAAGGGAGAGGUUCAAAGAACCUGUUGUUACCCAAAAUGACGAAGAUGGGAAGAACGAACUGUUAGCUGUUGCAUGUAGUGCAAAUGAUAUCAAGAAUCUGCGACCUGCAAGGAAACGUCGUUGGGGUGGUAGUGGUUAGAUGCUUGAACUAACCUUAAGUCAUGCAUAUUUUAUCUCAUUGUCAUCUUCCAGUACUUGGCAGGAAUCGAAAUGUCAGGAAAACAUUGAGAAGAUGACUGUCUCCAUGGGAUCCAAGUUCAGAUACUGUAGAUUUGAUUUCUUUUGAUGAUUGGAAUAGGAUAAAAAUGUACAAACAUUCACAUUUUAUCUUUCUAAUUCACCUACAGCUCAUUUUUGUCAGAGAAUAAUGGCUCCAGAGUGAACAUCUGCACGUACUUGUAAUGGGCUACUCUUUGUUCGGGAGAGAAUGUUUUUUUUAUGCUUGGGUCUUCUAUCGUUACGUUUCUCUGCAAUAUGCACAUAUCGUUGUGUUGGCUGCACUGUUGUGCAGUGUGCAGUGCAGCUAUACGCCUGCCUUUAUCUGUCGAGUGUAUUUUCUGCUUUGGAGCUUUUGAUAACAGCCAACUUGUUUUGCAAGAAUUUAUUGGCUCCUAAGCAAGUUAUUUUACAAGUCUAAAAGACACUGAAAAUAUCCCUUCAAUUUAUGUUUUUAAAGAUGUGUCUGCUGUUUGUUGCUUCAUAUGUUUAAGCCGUUCAGACAAACCUAAGUGAGUGUUAUGCUGGUUUAUUUUUGUGUGAAUGGCUCUGUACCAUCGCAAGAUCACUCGACUCUUGAGUCUCUGACUGCUGGAGUUAAAAGAGUAUCAUCCGUUUGCCACAUACUAAGUGGCCCCAGCGGCCAGCGGCCAUCAGUCAGCCAGCAAAAUGGAUGUUGACAGUUUGAUACAUCCCCGGUCGCAUCACAGGUACAAAUGGAUGCUUCUGCUGUAAAAAAAAAAGAGAAGCAAGAAAUGGAUGCUUCUCUUUUCCUUGUCUGUAUUUCUGUAGCUCGUCUAUUUCAUUUCGAGAACACGACAUGGACAUUCGCCAAACCUCCAGGUGCACACAGUGGCAUCUGCACCCAUGGUGGUGGCCACACACCUGUUCAUCUACUUUUUCCUAAUCUCUGUACCUAUCUAUUAAUUACGUUUGCCCAUUUAGAUCCAAUCACCCUCUCUCUCUCUCUUUCCAUUUGUACCAUUCCUUUCCCGUCGCCGGCGACAUCUCCGUCUCCGGUAAACAACCCGCUGCCGCAUCCACCUUCCCACCUGCCCUCCCUCUUCGCUCUGCCCACACCCUAGGCGCUAGUGUUUUCCCCUUGGCGAACAACCAGCGGGCAACAGAAGCGCCGCUACCCGGGUGCUCGCGCCUCAGAUCCAGCAAUCCGCCUGCCGUCACGGUGGCCAUGGACGACAUCCAGGGCCUCCUGGCCCGCGACUUCGGCCUCCGCCUUCAGGGGAAGGCCGCGCCCAUGUCGGCCGCUCGCUCAACCGCGCCCAUGUCGUCCCGGGCUCCUCCGCCCCCGCCCCCGCCGCCACAGAGAGCUCUGUCCCGGGCUUCUCCGCGGAGAGCUCCCGUCCCGGUGAUUUUGUGCUGUGAUUUUUUAUUUUGAUUUUUGGUGUACCAUGUGAUUUUUUAUUUUGAAUCCAUCGUGUGUCAUGAUUUUGUGUUGUGAUUUUGGAGUACCAUCGUGUAUCAUGUGAUUUUGGAGUACCAUCAUGUACGGUGUGAUUUUUGAAUCUUUGUGGUUUCUUAUUUAAAUGUUCGUGAUAUGAUAUUUGAGUACCAUCAUGUACCCAUGGUACAUGACGAGGUACUAGUUAUUUAUGAAUGUUUGUGUUCUAAUUUUGUCCCGAUACAUGAUGUAAUUUAUCGUUGAUGAGGUACUUGUUAAUUGUAUCUGUGAUGUACCUUCACGUACUCAUCAUAUACUUUCAUGUACUCGUUGAGAUACUCACAAAUUGUUAAGGUAAAUGUAAUGUAUCAUACGGUGUACCCGUAUCAUAAAUUCAUGUACAGGAGAUAUUUAAAAACUGUUAAGGUACAAUACAUAUAUCAUAAUGUACUAAAUAUGUACUUAAAAAUAUGUCAUGUACCAUAAUAUACUUAAAAGUGGGAGAGAGAAAGGAAAAGAGAAGAGCAAAGGUUGUCAGUGGCUAGACUGUUAAGUCCCUCUAAUUUAGCGGGAAAGAGAGAAAGAAUGGGAGAAAAAGCCAAACUUGUGGCUAGCACCGCACCGUGGGUGCAAAUGCGACAAAGGGCACCGCCUCCGUGUUAACGGACGUUCGGCCUCGUGUUCCUGCAAGAUUUUUCUUUUUUGUUAUUCGGAAGAACCUGCAAGCGGGAUAGAUGAUCGCACAGACUAGAAAGAAAAACGCCUCCCGGAACAGAAAUACGCCACUCUUCCAGAAAACAUAAACUCCCACCAGCUGCUGCCCCACCUUGUCAGCGACGGCGAUUCGAACUGGCGCCUCCCGUGGCGACGUGGCGCGCUCCGAGCCUCUCCAGCUACUCACCCCCAUCCCCGGCUCCCCGCUUCCCCCUCCUACCCCCGCAACUUCAAGUUCGGCAGCAACGGCACCGCACACGCGUGGGCAGCCCCGUAAAUUCCAACCCCCUUCCCCUCACAAAGGCGCGCCUCGGCCCUCGGCCUGCCCCGCUGCUCCGACCAGAGCACCAGCACUCUCCGGCUCUGCUUCGCGCCAUGGCGAUGCGGCUCUUCUCGUCCUCCCCGCCACCCCCGCUCCUCUCGGGCCCUAACACGACAGCGCUCUUCUCCAUCCGCCUUCGCCGCGCGCGGCCGCUCGUCUCAGCCGCGGCGGCGGGGGGACCCGAGCGGGACGGGGGUAGGUACGACGCGGAGGCGGUAGGCGUGGGGCCGUUCGACAGGAGGAUGGAGGAGAUUGCGAAGAAGGUUCCGCUCUUCGAGCCGGCGAUGGGCGAGCCCCCCGCCGCGGCUGACCGCCCGCUGCCCAUCAACCUCGAGCUUUGGCUCCACCGGGCCAAGGUGCAUACCAGGAAGUACGAGUUCACUGACGCCGAGAAACUGCUUGACAAGGUGCGCACGUAAAGAACUGGGGACAUUACGCAGUGGAAUUUGAUAAGCAUGCAUAUCCAAAAAAAAGAAGAAACGUCCAUCUUAGUGAAACAACAAGAGAUAAUGAAGUCGCAUAGUGUGAUUAUCAGUUUUUUAGUUGUUUAUACAUCAGUAUUGAGUAGUUUAGUUGAUCUAACUGAGGAUCUGACGAUCUGUUUCUGAUCCAGUGUAUGUUGUACUGGCCUGAAGAUGGGCGCCCAUAUGUCGCACUUGGGAAGCUAUAUAGUAAACAGUCGAGGUUUGACAAAGCUAGAGCAGUUUACGAAAAGGGUUGCCAAGCCACACAAGGCGAAAAUCCUUACAUUUGGCAGGUAAUUAAUUUGUUGUGAUUUAAUGAGUAAGAAAUACCACGUUGUACUUUGUUUUUUAUGAACAUCAAUGAGUGACUAAUAGCUGUUCAUAGAAGUUGCUGAGACUAGAGUACACCGAGAGCUCCUCCAAGGGAUCAAGGCAGGGUCAAUUUUGCCUUAUUUACAGACACUAUUGAUGUCAAAACAUAAUUUCUUGAAUUGGUUUUACGAACUAAUUAGAAGUUGAAGAAAGUCAUCUGAUACUUACGAAUGUUAAUUCUGCAUGUACCUGGAUGGAAUCAUCUUUGGCAUUGUCCAGAAUGUGCAUGUUGUAUGCGCCUAGAAAUUCAUUCAGCGAAUGACAAAGUCCAAUAAAGCAUGCAGAAGUCAUUGUUGUCAUUUUACAUUGAAUUACAGUGCUGGGCAGUGCUAGAAAGCAGGGGCGGAAAUCCUCGGAGAGCACGGGAGCUAUUUGAUGCUGCUACUGUGGCUGAUGCAAAGCACAUUGCAGCCUGGCAUGGCUGGGCAAUUUUAGAAAUCAAGCAAGGAAACAUAAAAAAGGCUCGAAACCUACUUGCAAAAGGUCUGAAAUGUUGUGGAGGAAAUGAGUACAUUUACCAGACUCUUGCUUUACUUGAAGCAAGAGCAGAGCGAUUUGAACAAGCACGAACGCUAUUCCAACAAGCUACUCAAUGCAAUCCAAAAAGUUGUGCAAGUUGGCUAGUAAGUAUUUGCUUUACAGUUACCUAUUUACUACAUAAAUUGCAGGGCUGUAUUUUUGUAGAAAUUAUGAACUUAUAUAUGGCAACUUUCUAGUAGUCCUGGGCUCAGGUAGAAAUGCGGGCAGAAAAUAAUGUCAUGGCCAGGAAGCUCUUUGAGGUAAUACUUUACUUUCCGUCUCAAGUUAACCAUACAUUUCAUUCACGUUUUUGCUGAUCUAGUUCUCAUCCAUUUCCUUGAGUUCAUGUGUCUUAAGAGGUUCUUAUCUUAAGAUGUAGUGUAAAGUAGCAAAGUAGAAAGGAUCAAAGGAAUUCCACUAGAGAUGGAAUUGCUGUGGAUUCAGAUUAUUUGUUGGGAGUUAUCUGGUUGUUUUUAGAACUUAGAAAAUCUGCUCCACUUAACUAGCAUCAUUGUAAUGGUGAGAUUCAGUUGUUCAACUAUAACGACUGCUAGGGUCAUAAUGUAAUGCUCUCGGUUCACGUCUAUAUGUGAUGACUCUGCAUAUUAAUUAUGACAUUCCUUCAAAAAAAAUAUCAAAAUUCAUUGCAGAAUAUAACGUCAGUUUUCCUGUGCAGAAAGCUGUCCAGGCUAGCCCUAAGAACAGAUUUUCGUGGCAUGUCUGGGCACUCUUUGAGGCCAAUCAAGGCAACACUGACAAAGCAAGGAAAUUACUUAAGAUUGGCCAUGCUGUGAAUCCUAGGGACCCUGUAAUUCUUCAGUCACUUGCACUGCUGGAAUACAACUGUUCAUCUCCAAAUGUUGCCCGUGUAUUAUUUAGAAAAGCAUCUCAGAUUGAUCCAAAGCACCAACCAGUUUGGAUAGUAAGAUUUUUCUGCACUUAACUUUUCUGUUAAUCUGAUCAUUUCAGUUCCAUGUGCUUUUUUAAUUCCAUUUACAGUCUGCUUGUAAGCUUGUUUUAGUUUUUCUACUGGAUGUUCUGCCUGGUGAUACAAUUUUCAGUUUCUGCGUUGAUUUGGUGUAGUACCUCUGGCACUAUGGAUGCAAUUUGGGAGUGUCCUAGCUAGUUGUUUGUCAUUGUGUACAAUCCAAUGAUUUAGGGAAUGGAAACUUCAGGGAAUAUCCAGUGGAUCCAUUGAGUUUAUAAUAUUUUUUUGUGCUUUUGUUAUUAGUUGUGCAUUGUGCUCUAUAUCCUUUUACAAUCUGGAGUUUAGACUAUUUAGCCGGUGUCCUUAAAGACCUCCAGUGAUAUAUUUCGAGUUUCUCUAGAGUUUAAUUUUUGGGUGCGAUUAGAUAUAUUUUUAGGGUGUGGUUCAAAGUCGCCUGUUUUUUAAGAAAUGGGUCUUAAAUAUCAGUCGAAGUUUCAGAGCCGUUGAAUUAAGAUCUGAGGGUCAUCCUUAUUCGCUCAUCUCCUACUUGCUAUCGUUGGAUUAAGAUCCGAUGCCUAACAUGUCGAUUGAUCUCUAACUAAAAAACAGGCGACUUACAAUAGCAAAACCGAUAUUUUUAAUACUUAACUUUCACUAUAGGAGGUCUUGAGUGUUCUCUUCUUUGUUUUUAGAAAGAGUAUACAAGCAGGAGGAUAAACCAACACAUACCAUACUCGCACCACAACAUGCACACAUGCCUAACCUCCCCUACCGGUCGGAAUAUAUUGAAAGCUUCACCGGUUCUACUUGAUGUGGGCACACACUACCCCACUUAACGCGUAACUCAAGUUAAAAUCCGUCAGUAUGUCCACAUUGAAGUAAACCGAUUUGAUAUAAAAGAUACUCCCUCCGUCCUGAAUUAACUGACAUGGAUUUGUAUAAGAAUCUAUACAAAUCCGUGUCAGUUAAUUUGGGACGGAGGGAGUACUUGGUCGGAUAUUUCUUUAAAACUUAGGAAUGAAAAUAUAUGAUUAAAGUACCAGUUUGCUGAUAUAAAAGAAAAUUAGAACAUAUGUAUCUGCCUUGGCCUUGCUGUUUGAUGCUAAGUGCCAUGGUUGUCGCUUAUGGACUCUUUUUUUUUGUCAAAUUAUAUUUGAAACUUAGCAUUUCAUGUUAUAGGCUUGGGGGUGGAUGGAGUGGAAAGAAGGAAAUGAGAGAACUGCACGAUCCCUCUAUCAAAGAGCCUUGUCGGUUAAUUCAACAAAUGAAUGUGCUGCUCGUUGUCUUCAGGUAAAUAAUGUCCCUCAAACAAUAUCCUAUACUUGGUUAAAGUGCUAGUUAUAGUCUUGCAUCGUCUCGUAUUCCAUUCACUACUAUACAAUUCCAUUUGAUGAAUUAGUCUCUCAUGGUUUUUCAAGGUGAACGCUUGUAUGUGUGAAGCAUCUGGCCAUCUGCUUUACUAUAGUUCUACACACUUAAGCAGAUAAAACUUCCUCUUUACCCAUGAUUUGAACUACUCAAGUUGGCAUUCAUUCUAGUAACUGGAAAAUUAUAAUGUCACCACUAUAAGUAUCAGCCUAUUAGGUACCGCUAUUUCAUUUGCUAUCUUGUAGCAUAAAUUAUGUACCUUACUUUAUAGGCUUGGGGAGUCCUAGAGCAGCGUGCUGGUAACUACACCGCUGCCAGAAGAUUGUUGAGGUCUUCAUUGAACAUAAAUUCUCAGAGUGAGGUGACAUGGCUGACAUGGGCGGCAUUAGAGGAGGAACAGGGGGAUCCAGUUCGAGCUGAAGAAAUACGGGACCUUUAUUUUCAGCAGGUUAGUACUUGCAACCUAUGGAGUAACUUAAAGUUUGUGCCUGCAUCUCCAUGAACAACACAGUAGCAGCCUAGCAGGCUAGCAGCAGUUGUUGGUCUUCACAUUGUCGCUGAUAAUGCAACUGAUCAUUAACCAUCCUGACAGCGUAUCGAGGUUGUGGAUGAUGCCUCCUGGGUGAUGGGCUUCCUCGACAUCAUUGAUCCGGCUCUAGAUAGUGUGAAGAAGCUCCUAAACAUAGACCAAACUUUCGGGCCAGGCAGGCAAGACAAUGUGAGAAGCGCGACAGACCAAGGUAGAACCACCACGAGGACCUCUGCAGCUGGAGAGCUCUCUGGAGGUUCCACAGCUGAAGGUUCAAGUACUCCCGACCUCAACGGCGUUGACGACAGCCAAGCUGUUGGAAACACUCGGGAGGCAGAGAACGACUUUGAUGUGGACAGCUUCAUCAGGAGGAGGCUGGCCGUAGACCCGGCAGAGCUAGAUGCGUUGCUCGAGGGCUCUGAUCCGAGGAGAGUUGUCUCUGAGAGGAGAACGCGGCGGCUGACCAGGAAACCUCUCCCUCUUCUCCCCGUUCCUUAGUUCUUUGUUCUUCCAGUGAAGCAUGGAGCGGUUGCCAUUUCCAGCGUGCAUCGAUCACUAACAGGUACUGUGACCUGCGAGAUACAGUAGUAAGUAGGACGUGUAUUUCUGUGUAUAUCUGUACGAAUAAGAACGGCGAUGUUGUUAUUAGCAUUCCGCUGCUCAUUGUUAGGUGUAACCAUGUAUGUAUUUCUUUCAGAUGCUGAUACGAGAAGUAGUGUAGUUGUGUAUAGAGCGCCCAGCAUUAGUCAAUUGUAUUUGCAGUAUAGUUACAGCAUCUGUUAAGCAUUAUGGGGAAACAGUCUGCAAAUUGCCAUUUCGCCUAGAGGAGAAUUAACUUUAAGCUAUUCAUCAGAGAAUCUUUUAUACUUAUACCACAAGUGGGGUGUGUAGUUCAUGGAACUGAACUUAGGACAAGAAAUUCAAAAUGUAGACUACAAGAUUCGAGCAUCGUCAUACUGAAGCAACAAAUAAAGGCUGCCUAUGGCAUUGAUCAAGUUAGAGAAUCUCAGAGCAAAUUUGUUAGACAUGUUGCUACGGAGGAAAAGAAAGAAAUUGGUGUACAUAAGAAAAAGAUGAGACAUGACUAAUGUGAUAAUAUCCUAGUCUGGGUACAACAGAGACGAUACUGUCAAAUGGAAAGCAGAAACUAGAGCAGAACUCUUUAACAGUUAAAUAAUCUAAUAUGUAAUUCCUGUCUCCGUGUAGUAAACUCACAAGCUUAGCAAAAACAGUAUAGCAUGCAGUUGAAGCCUUGAAGCACAGUCCCUAAAACACCGGUCUGCCCCAGCACACACCCGGUGGCGGUGGCGUAUGCUGCCCCUGGAAAUGCGGCGGAUGUUGCGCCCCCAUAGGAGGUGGUAGUUGCUGCAGUGUCGGAGGUGCCGACGGGCCGAUGCAGCCCCAGUGAGGCGGUGGCGGCCGCUGCUGCAGCACAGGAGGUGGUAGCCAGUGCGGCGGUGGAGGAGGUGGCCAGCACCAAGGCGCUUGCCGUGGCAGCAGCUCCGGGGGCGCGCCCCAGAACGGUGCCGGAUACGACGGCGGUGCCGUUGGCGAGCGCCAGCAUGAUGGCGGUCCUGCAGGCUGAAGAUGCUGCGUGUACGUCGGCGCUCCCGUGCACGACGGCGGUGGCGCCAUGGGCAACGGCAAGCCCCAGCACAGGUGCGGAGGAGGCGGCGUCACCUGCGGCGAGCCGAAGCCUGAUGGUGGUCCACUCCAGCGCGGCGUCGAGCCAAAGCCCGGUGGUGCGGAGGGUAUCGGCGCCAACGUAGGGGUAGGGCGGCUCCAGCACGGCGCCGCGGACGAGCCGAAGCCUGGUGGCGGGGAGCACGGCGACGAAGGCGCCAGAGUCUCCUGGCGCGGGGGCGAUAGCGGCGGGGGUGGAGGAGUCGGGGAUCGCAUCGACAGCGGUGGAGGCGACGGUGGCGGCAACCACAUCUCUUCGUCUUCCUUGACCUCCUCCUUCACCUUGUUGGCGCAGCAGGACGAAGCGACGCGCUGGUAGGCAGACCUGCGCGUCCGCUUGGACCGCGCGCGCCGCACCGCCAGCGCGAGGACACGGUCGGCGGGCGGGGGCGUGGGUUGCACCUGCUCCGGCGGGUCCCCGGAGGCAGCGAAGGCGGCCACGCAGCCGACGGGACAUUCCUCCCAGCCGAUCGCAUCAAUGUCGGCCUUCGCCUCCGCGGCGAGGAUGACUGCGGCGGAGGGCGGGGCCGCAUGCGGCGCGCAGUGCAGCGUGGAGCGGCGCGGCGGCUCCAAGUCGACCUGCCCCACCAAAAGGCCCAUGAUGUGUCCUCCUGCUCCCUCGCAACAAUAAACAUCAAGUCGCGCCAACAGCAUAGCGGAAGCAAAAGGGAGAGAACAAAUUGAAGGUAAAUUGAACGAAAGGACGGAAGGAAACCUUGUGGUGAUGGUGGAGCCUGACGAAGCCAUGCAUGGAAAUGAUCUGCAAGCGAAGCGGCCAUAUCAGACUCAGAGUCGCACGUACGGAACGAGCCCAUCGCAUAGGAAGAGUGCAGAUUCAGUUUUAAAAAAUGGAAGAGGAACAGAUUAAGUCCAAAAUAUGGAAGAAGAACAGAUUAAGAACACUUGCAGGGGAAAUCGGAGAUCAAGGGGAAAGUUGGGGCGUAUGCAAACAACAAACAGAGGACGGAGAGGGAUUUGGUUAAGCACGAACGUGGUUGAGGUGGUCUAUGGUGACGCGGGUGCCCCAGGGGUCGACGAAGAACCGGUGGUACUUCUCCAGCGUCAGUGGCCCUCCAUGGAUCUCCGUCGUUUGCCGUCGUCUCCCUCUCCCCAUGGCUUCUUCGCUCUCCACCCACACGCGCCUCCCCUCUCCUCCUUCCGCUGUUCUCUUCUCUCUCCGGUGCCCACCUCUCGGCUCCGAACGCCGGUGUCUUUCUUUUGGGAUGGCCAACCUGACGACUGGCCCCGCAGAGCAGAUGAAGGAAUUGAUGCCGUUGGUGCGGCCGUGCCGGGCCCACGCACCCCUGCAGGCUUCCCUUUCGCCCGAACAAGCAGACAAACAAACAAGGCGUGAUCGACCCCCAACAAGAUCAUCCGAACAACGUGCAGAAAAUUGCACAAACCAUUCACCUUUGCGAAGCUUGUUGCGCAAAACACCCACUGUUCAUACGUCUAAUCCAUUGCACAUAAGUUCUAAUCCCAGUUUCAGCGUGAUAAACACGUUUCUAACAGAUGGGGCCCACCCGUCCGUGCCAACAUCGCGUCUCGGCCUUGCCAACGUGGAUUGGGUCGGGCCCAAGAGUACCUCGGGGCGGUGAGCCACGGCACGGGCGCGUCGGGCGGACGGCGCGGCACGACGCGGGCGAGCAUGCUUCGCGGCGCAGGCGCACGGGCGGCGCGGCGGUGCGUCAUGGCGCGGCUCAGGCACGCGGGCAGACGGGCGGCUUGCGGCACAGCACGGCACGGCUCAGGUGUGGGCGGCGUGGUAGGGCGCGGGUUACACGCGGACGAAUGGGCUGCGUCAUCGAUUACGUCGUCCGCGCCCAGCUCUGUCAUCGCCCUCUGCGGCUUUUUGGGAAUCCGGCGGCGGCGGUCCUUUGUCUGCGUGGCAGCAUCAGUGCCGGCGGCCACCCUGUACUCGGCGAGGUGAAACAAGCUCCAGCUCUGGCCGUCAAGAGGAGCCGUCGUCCCGGACGCCGGCGGAGGCGCGCACCUCGUCCGUCUGCAUCACGGGAGCAUCCAGCGUGACCGCGCUGCCCGUCCGCCCGUGUUGAACUGCAACGCAACGCCGCGCCGCUCCGAAGUCCUCUUCGGCCCGACCCAAUCCUCGCUGGCAAGGCCGAGACGCCACGUUGGCACUGACAGGUGGGCCCACCGGUCAGAAACGUGUUUAUCGCACUGAAACUGAGAUUAGGACUUGUGUGCAACGGAUUAGACAAAUAGUAGGUGUUCUGUGCAAAAAGUAUAAAUAAUAGAUGUUUUGCCCAAGAAGUCUCACAAUAAUAAUGAGUGGUUUCUGCGAUUUCCUCGAAGAACGUUUGAGCCUACCUUUUGCAGUCUUGCAGACCCAGGCCAAGACUCCAAAGCGACGAUGAGUCUUUGAUCCAUUCGCCUCGGCUUCGAUGGAAGUGAAGUUUGGUCAGGUCCGCUGCAGGUCCAGUUGUUACUUUAUGAAUGGCCGAAAGACACCAAAUAGGCCAAAUACGGCGAAGCGAACGCGACAUGCUCUAUCACUGUAUCACACAUCACGUGUAGGGGUGUUGAUCGCAAGCCACGAAUGGCGUCCCACCGAGUCGUUCCAACGGAUAAAGAGGGAAUAGCAAGGGUGUGUUUGGACAGUGAUCAAUGUUUAUCUAUCAAAUUUUUAGUCAAUUGAGUGUUUAUUUGAAUAAUAGUAAAAAAAUGACAAGCCAAUUCUCCACUACCAAUUUUAACGGGAAUGCCUACGUCUAAGUCGACUGAGAAACUCGAUGCUGCAUGUGUGUGUACAUUUUUUUUCUUUGACCACCAUUUAUGUGUGAAAAUAAAAACUAAAGAUAAAUCAUCCAACUCCUCUGCAUGCAUGGAUUUUGGUUCUUCAUAUAAGGUGGAAAACCACAGUGGCACCCCCAUGGAAAAUUACAGCUGAGACAAUUUUAAAAAUUACAGGCUAGGUGCAAUUUUAAAAAUUACAGGUGAAGUUUUAAAAUGUCGGCAUACAUAGAGAGCAAAAGAGUGGUUCCGGUAAAAAAUAAAUUGUUAGGGACCUAUCACCUAGAAAUUUGCAUAAUUUUUGCGUGCAAUUGUUAAAUUUGCGCAUAAAUUUCACUUGGAAUUUUUAAAUUGCCCACAAAACUCCACUUGCAAUUUUAAAAUUGUACCUAAAAUUUCACGUGCAAUUUUUAAAAUCUACUCACUCCGUCCCAUGUUAAGUGACUUUCUAUUACAUGUGUAUCUAGACGCUUUUUAAGCACAGUACACUCAUAUUUGGGCAAAUUUGAGUGACUUAAUAUUGGACGGAGGGAGUAAUAGUUAUUCUUUUUGUUGCCUUUUGCCUUCCUCCCUUUUUAAGGAAAUUAUGGUGUAACUGUAAAAUUACAGUUGCAAUCCCAUGCGGCGGAGAAAAUUGCAGUUGCAAUUGGAAAAAUAUACGGGUGCGGUUGUAAAUACUACAGUUGCAACGUCCAUCCAACUCGAAAAAUUAUAGUUAGUGCACAUGUAUGAUUUGUGCAAAUGUGAAACUCAGAUUGUGCAAUUCGAAAUAAACAUAGAGGCUUAGAGAAACAGACAACCAUUUGUGAUAAAGUCGAUCGGAUAAACUAAACAAAUAAAAUAGGGGCCAUAUUAUGUGCAUUACUAAUUAGUUGCAUAUGAAAAAAGAAAAAAGAGACAACAAAAAAUAAUUAAAACAAGGAAAAGUAAUAAAAAAAUUAAAAAUGAACGAAGUUAUAAAUAAGGAACAAAAAUAAAAAUAAAAUAAAAAACAAAACAAAAAAGUCAACAUGUAGGAGAUUCAAACCUCAAACCUCGUAUUGGC